AACGCGAAGAACCUUACCCAGGCUCGAAAUGCAGGUGGCGACACCAGAGAUGGUGUUUUCCGUAAGGACGCCUGUAUAGGUGCUGCAUGGCUGUCGUCAGCUCGUGCCGUGAGGUGUUGGGUUAAGUCCCGCAACGAGCGCAACCCUUAUCAUUAGUUGCCAACACGCAAGGUGGGGACUCUAAUGAGACUGCCUAGGUUAACUAGGAGGAAGGUGAGGAUGAUGUCAAGUCCGCAUGGCCUUUAUGUCUGGGGCUACACACGUGCUACAAUGGUCGGUACAGAAGGCAGCAAGACCGCGAGGUGGAGCAAAUCCGAAAAGCCGAUCUCAGUUCAGAUUGUAGUCUGCAACUCGACUACAUGAAGCUGGAAUUGCUAGUAAUGACGUGUCAGCAACAACGUCGUGAAUACGUUCCCGGGCCUUGUA
rnacentral:rRNA from 1 species